rnacentral:rRNA from 1 species
UACGAAGGGGGCUAGCGUUGCUCGGAAUCACUGGGCGUAAAGGGUGCGUAGGCGGGUUUUUAAGUCAGGGGUGAAAUCCUGGAGCUCAACUCCAGAACUGCCUUUGAUACUGAAGAUCUUGAGUCCGGGAGAGGUGAGUGGAACUGCGAGUGUAGAGGUGAAAUUCGUAGAUAUUCGCAAGAACACCAGUGGCGAAGGCGGCUCACUGGCCCGGUACUGACGCUGAG